UACGAAGGGGGCUAGCGUUGCUCGGAAUUACUGGGCGUAAAGCGCACGUAGGCGGAUUGUUAAGUCGGGGGUGAAAUCCUGGAGCUCAACUCCAGAACUGCCUUCGAUACUGGCGAUCUCGAGUCCGGGAGAGGUGAGUGGAACUGCGAAGUGUAGAGGUGAAAUUCGUAGAUAUUCGCAAGAACACCAGUGGCGAAGGCGGCUCACUGGCCCGGUACUGACGCUGAGGUGCGAAAGCGUGGGGAGCGAACAGG
rnacentral:rRNA from 1 species